CCCGCCCCUCCCAGCGCUACCUUCAUGGGCGUUCGGACAAAUGAGCUUUGGAAACACGUGGAAUCCGGUGAACUGAAAUGAAUCUGUCCUACGCGUUUCGAGGUCCAUUCGUCGCCCCAACACUGAAAGUGCUCCUGGAAUUAAUCUGCAAACCUUCCUCAGAACAUCGUGAUGAGUUGCCACAACAUCACCCUAAAGUGUGUCGGACCAGGGACACAUUUAAAAGUUGCAAGACACCGGCUUUUGAGGACUGGACUUUGACACCCCUGUCCUAAGGUAUUCCGAUGUAACUGAGCCACCUCAUCUAUGCUGAAGAUACUCAGAUCAUACAGAAGUGGGAGGGAGAUUAAAUUU